UAGCGGCGGACGGGUGAGUAACACGUGGGUAACCUGCCCAUAAGACUGGGAUAACUCCGGGAAACCGGGGCUAAUACCGGAUAACAUUUUGAACCGCAUGGUUCGAAAUUGAAAGGCGGCUUCGGCUGUCACUUAUGGAUGGACCCGCGUCGCAUUAGCUAGUUGGUGAGGUAACGGCUCACCAAGGCAACGAUGCGUAGCCGACCUGAGAGGGUGAUCGGCCACACUGGGACUGAGACACGGCCCAGACUCCUACGGGAGGCAGCAGUAGGGAAUCUUCCGCAAUGGACGAAAGUCUGACGGAGCAACGCCGCGUGAGUGAUGAAGGCUUUCGGGUCGUAAAACUCUGUUGUUAGGGAAGAACAAGUGCUAGUUGAAUAAGCUGGCACCUUGACGGUACCUAACCAGAAAGCCACGGCUAACUACCUGCCAGCAGCCGCGGUAAUACGUAGGUGGCAAGCGUUUUCCGGAAUUAUUGGGCGUA
rnacentral:rRNA from 1 species